rnacentral:lncRNA from 1 species
UACACCUUUCUACCAUAGGCUUGCAAGGACUCUAAAAAUCGAUCGACAUACAAUGAAUAUGCACCUUUCAAGGACUUUUCGGGUUAUAGCGUGGCUUAGGAUUAUUGAAGGGUGGAUAUAUUUUUUGGGAAACUAGGUAGAAAAACUUGAAGCUUUUAAGAUCACAUAUUUCAAACAAAAGUGGACAAAUCAAUUGAUCCCCCCAAAAUCAUCAAAUUCAUACUAGAGAACUUAGUUUUCACAAUUUUUUUCCUCAUGCAAAUGAAUUCACAGUGUGUGAACUCAUUCCAUGCUCACAUUUUUUUCACAAAGAAGUCCCUCGACAAAAUUUUUUUAUAUUCAUUUUUUUUCCAAACAUGGUGUUAUGCAUUUUGCAUUCUCUUUAUUUAUUUAUUUUUCAUUUCUUUCACCAUUUCCUUUCUUUUCAUGAGAGACAUUCUCUUCAUAUUUUUUUUUUUUUCACAAACUUUUUCAAAAUAUUUUUCUUUUAGUUCUCUAGUACCCCACCCCAAACUUAAUAGGUUGCAAAUCCCAAGAGCAACCCCAAACUUAAUGAUGAGCAUUGUGCUCAAAUCACAAGUUAGGUGAUCAACUUCAAGAAAAUCAUCUUCUUUUUUUUUUGUAAAAAUUAUGUGGUUUUUAAAAAGAAGUAAGAUCAAAAUAUUUUUCUUUCAAUAAGGCUCAAAGGGGCUAGCAAGGGAUAAUAAUAUUCAAAGGUCGGCUACAAAGGCUCAAGCUCACAAAAACGUGCCUCGGUGCAUUAUUCAUCGCAAUCAAUCAAUCAAAAGAAUUCAAGCAAAUUCUAGAGAAUAGGAGAGACGUGGAACUCACAUAGUCAACAAAGAAAUUUAAGUGUUUAGGCUCAAGACCUCACAGUUAGGAUAACAGAGAAGAAUUAGAGCCAUUAGGAAU